CUUAUCCCUUCAUCUAUCGUACAAAGCAUCAGUAGAUGCUUUUUCACUCUCGUUUUCCUUGCAAGCUCAAUCGUCCACCGUCCACCGUCCACCGUCCACCCCUCACCGAUGUCCUUGCUCUCGUUUUCAAUUGAAACCUCUCACCGUCCAAGCUCUGUUUUCCAGAAUGUGAAGGAUAGAUUAAGAUUCAAUUUGAUAUAUUCUCUUGCCUCUUUUUCGCUGACGUUCCCCCUUCGAUCCCGAGUUCACUCGCUCCGCCUCUUUUCCGACUCCUCCGCCAUUCUUAAUUGUUAUACUUGCUGUUCAUACCCAUUCUCAACCGUCGGCCGUCAUUUUCGCCGUUAUUGGGUUUUGUUGUUGCUAUUCUGAGUUGACUCAGUCUUCUCAACUCGAUCUCUCUGCAUUUUCUUCCCUCUCUUAAUUCGGCUUCGGAUGGCGUGGAGAAUGAGGCGAAUUCGCUCGCAGAAUUUUAGAUGUGGGUAACUUUGUAAGCCCUUUUGGAGAUAAAUAACUAGGCUCACAAGUUUGUUUUUGUGAUCUGAAGGAAAAGUAUUACAAGGGAUAGCUCAAUAGUUGAUAAUCAGCAAAAGUAUUAUGAGGGAAACUCUGCAGCAACUUCAACGCCAUUUAGUACAUAAUUACUACUGGAAAUUGAUUUUGAUGCGGCUAAGAUGAGAUGAUAUUGCCGGUGCUUAUGGUCGUGAUGUCGUGGCUAUGCUUUAUGGCGGCAUGUAUACAGUGAUGAUUCUGCUGUUGAAUUUUUUAUUUUUUAUUUUUGAAAAUAUUCUUCCCAAAGAUGUUAUAUGGCUGAAUGUUGAUAUUGGAAUACUCCCAGCAAUAUUGCAUUCAUAUGUACUUUAUAUAUAUAUAUAUAUAUAUAUUGGAAUAUUAAUGUGGAAAGUUGAGGAUUGAUUAUCUAA